GGGGGAUGAAGGACGCCACCGAGGAAGCAGACCCCACCGGGCUCCCGAGGCUGCCAGGCCCCCCGCUCAGGGCGCUGCCUGCAGAACCACGCCCCCCUGUCCCUGUGCUAAGAGGGUGACGCGAGUGCCCGAAGCCCUGGCCUGGUUACCAUUCGCGACUCCCUCGUCCUGGGUUCUCCCAUUGCCAGGAAUGUUUUACUAGUAACCAUGGUAUAGUUGAGACGAUCCACUCUUGUCCUACGCAUUUCGGCACAAUACAGGCGUCUAGGAGGCUUACCUGGCAUUGCCUGAGAGAAUCUUCCAUCCAUUUAAGUACCCAGUAACAGAGGGAGCAAAGCAAAUCUUAUCCUCAAAGAACUGCAGCUGCUUGUUAGAUCUACCUGGUGGUUCCAUAGAGAAACUGCUCAGAGAACCUGCCUUUACCUCGCCUAAAACAGAACUAUCCCGGAGCUCAGUUCAUCAACUCAGGAUCCAGUAGUGUAAUACAGAAGCCUGUUACGAGAUAUAAGGCACUUUGCCCUCGGAAAUCUCACUGUCGGAAUCCUUGGAAAUCACACCACGCACAACUUCUAUUUCUUCAUAAUUUGCAAAGAACCAGUGUGACUCCAGUCAAGAACAAAAGAUUAAUUGUGAAUUAGCGAAGAACUCUAAUUUUUUCAAGCAGCCACAUGGAAAACGCAUUCUAAUGAAAUCCUUUCCAUUGCUCUUUUUUCUUAGUUCUUCAAUAAAGCAUGCGAUUUGAUCACAAA
rnacentral:lncRNA from 10 species